GCUGGGUAUGGUACUGUACACCUGUAGUCCCAGCUACUCGGGAGGCUGAGGUGGGAGGAUCACUUGAGCCCAGGAGGUUGAGGCUGCAGUGAGCUAUGAUCAUACACCUGUGAAUGGCCAGUGCACUCUCUCCUGGGCAAUGUAGUGAGAUCUCAUCUCAU
rnacentral:SRP_RNA from 1 species